UACCGUUGGAUCGAGAAAUGGACGUCCGAGAUUCGUCUACGUCACCAUGAGUUAAAAUUUAACUCACAGAUUCACUCAUGAGUUAAAAUUUUACUAGGAGUUAAAUUUUAACUCAUAGUGACGUGGACGAAUCUCGGACAUCAUUUCUGAAUACAACGGUA
rnacentral:pre_miRNA from 1 species